UAGUCAUAUGCUUGUCUUAAAGAUUAAGCCAUGCAUGUCUAAGUAUAAGCAAUGAAAUAGCGAAACUGCGAAUGGCUCAUUAAAUCAGCAAUAGUUUAUUUGAUGGUAACUACUGGAUAACCGUAGUAAUUCUAGAGCUAAUACAUGUAUCAAAGCUUACCGUAAGGUAGGCCGCAUUUGUUAGAUACCCCACCAAUAUCGGGCUUGCCCGAUUUCGGUGAACCAGAACAACUGAGCUGAUCGUAUGGUCUUGUACCGACGACGCUUCAUUCAAAUUUCUGCCCUAUCAACUUUUGAUGUUAAGGAAGUGGCCUAACAUGGUGAUAACGGGUGACGGAGAAUUAGGGUUCGGUUCCGGAGAUGGAGCCUGAGAAAUGGCUACAACUUCCAAGGAAGGCAGCAGGCGCGUAAAUUACCCAAUGAGAAUACCUUGAGGUAGUGACGAGAAAUAACGAUAUAGGGCCAGAAAUGGUCCUGUAAUUGGAAUGAGCACAAUUUAAACCACUUAGCGAGUAUCAAUUGGAGGACAAGUCUGGUGCCAGCACCCGCGGUAAUUCCAGCUCCAAUAGCGUAUAUUAAAGUUGCUGCAGUUAAAAAGCUCGUAGUUGAAUUCCAAGGCAGUUUGGUUGGUCUAGCCACACAGUGGCCGGUACUGAUCGAAUUGUUUUUGACUGGUCGACCUCACCUGUUCUUAAUUGAAUGGGGAGAUGGGCGCCAGUCCGGUUACUUUGAAAAAAUUAGAGUGUUUAAAGCAAGCUAUUCGUCUGAAUACUUCAGCAUGGGAUAACGUAAUAGGACCUUGAUCAUGAAUGUUGGUGGGGCAGGUCAGGGUAAUGAUUAAUAGGGACAAUUGGGGUUGUUCAUAUUGAGUGGGGAGAGGUGAAAUUCUUGGAUCCACUCAAGAUGCACCACAGCGAAAGCAUUCAACACGGAUGUUUUCAUUAAUCAAGAACGAAAGUUAAGGGAUCGAAGACGAUCAGAUACCGUCGUAGUCUUAACCAUAAACGAUGCCGACCAUAGAUGUGGGAAUGUGUUUUAAUCUCCCCAUGCAUAUUGCGAGAAAUCAGAGUCUUUGGGUUCUGGGGGGAGUAUGGUCGCAAGGCUGAAACUUAAAGGAAUUGACGGAAGGGC
rnacentral:rRNA from 1 species